AAGCGAGAGAAAAACCUAUUCUUUCGGAACCUGAGUCUAUUCUUGUAGCUGAGUUUUUAUCAAAACCAAAAAUGGAGGCAUACCAACUUUUACCACUCCUAAAAAAGACAGAUUAUGCCCAUUUUUUGGAUACCCUUUCAUCAGCUCCUAAUACGGAACAUGUUACGGAUUCUGGAUUCCUAUUUCCCAACUCAUUCCUCCUGAAGCUUGCAAAACCUCAAAAUUGGGUUUCAACUCUGCACAUGGAGGUUUUAGUGGAGUUACUUUCUAGUAGGCUUGCAACAAGACUUGCCACACAGCGUGCUGCUUUUGUUGAACCAUGGUUUGCUAAC